GUCUCCGUGGCGCAAUCGGCUAGCGCGUUCGGCUGUUAACCGAAAGGUUGGUGGUUAGAGCCCACCCGGGGACG
rnacentral:tRNA from 1 species